rnacentral:sRNA from 1 species
CAACAGAAGAACCUUGAAGGCUAUGUGGGAUUUGCCAAUCUCCCAAAUCAAGUAUACAGGAAAUCGGUGAAGAGAGGUUUUGAAUUCACGCUUAUGGUAGUGGGUGAAUCUGGAUUGGGAAAGUCGACAUUAAUCAACUCAUUAUUCCUCACAGAUUUGUAUUCUCCAGAGUAUCCAGGUCCUUCUCAUAGAAUUAAAAAGACUGUACAGGUGGAACAAUCCAAAGUUUUAAUCAAAGAAGGUGGUGUUCAGUUGCUGCUCACAAUAGUUGAUACCCCAGGAUUUGGAGAUGCAGUGGAUAAUAGUAAUUGCUGGCAGCCUGUUAUCGACUACAUUGAUAGUAAAUUUGAGGACUACCUAAAUGCAGAAUCACGAGUGAACAGACGUCAGAUGCCUGAUAACAGGGUGCAGUGUUGUUUAUACUUCAUUGCUCCUUCGGGACAUGGACUUAAACCAUUGGAUAUUGAGUUUAUGAAGCGUUUGCAUGAAAAAGUGAAUAUCAUCCCACUUAUUGCCAAAGCAGACACACUCACACCAGAGGAAUGCCAACAGUUUAAAAAACAGAUAAUGAAAGAAAUCCAAGAACAUAAAAUUAAAAUAUAUGAAUUUCCAGAAACAGAUGAUGAAGAAGAAAAUAAACUUGUUAAAAAGAUAAAGGACCGUUUACCUCUUGCUGUGGUAGGUAGUAAUACUAUCAUUGAAGUUAAUGGCAAAAGGGUCAGAGGAAGGCAGUAUCCUUGGGGUGUUGCUGAAGUUGAAAAUGGUGAACAUUGUGAUUUUACAAUCCUAAGAAAUAUGUUGAUAAGAACACACAUGCAGGACUUGAAAGAUGUUACUAAUAAUGUCCACUAUGAGAACUACAGAAGCAGAAAACUUGCAGCUGUGACUUAUAAUGGAGUUGAUAACAACAAGAAUAAAGGGCAGCUGACUAAGAGCCCUCUGGCACAAAUGGAAGAAGAAAGAAGGGAGCAUGUAGCUAAAAUGAAGAAAAUGGAGAUGGAGAUGGAGCAGGUGUUUGAGAUGAAGGUCAAAGAAAAAGUUCAAAAACUGAAGGACUCUGAAGCUGAGGUAAUCAGUCUAAUAUUCCAUCUCUUAGCAGACAUUGGGUUCCUUUUUUAAGUAGUAUCUUCAGUAAAAUUUAUAGAUAAUAUAAUCUUUUUAUACAUAUUUUUUCAAAGUUAAUACCCUAGUGUAACAAAACGGAGAAAUUUCUAGAAGCAAGCACUGUGUUUAUAAUAAAAUAAUAUAUACUUCAAUUUGUAAGUGCUUGGACAUAGUAUAUUAGGUAGGACAGUGUAAUAGAAUACUUACAAUGAAUUAUUAAAGUUAUAAUGAACAAGUUUGAGUUGUGAAAAAUAAAAUUACAAACCAUUCCAUACAGGUGGCAUAAGAACACUAAAGAUGAGAAUUUGGGGGUGGGUUUAUGCACAAAAACUAGUGUUAGGAUAAUAAUAAUUGACCAUACUUAUUUGUGUAUGAGUGAAAAAGAGGGAAAUAACCUUUAUUGAACUAAAGACAUGACUGGAUAAAUUCCACACAAUUAAAGGAGAGAAAAUUAGGGAAUGUGAUAUUUUUGUCAUGUUCGGGCCUUCUUUAUUUAUAAUGUAGUGUCAAGGUAGUUCGUAGUGUUACAACAUUGGGCAGGGUAAUGACAAAACAUCCCAAAAGACAUAUCUACUGUCUUGAAACCCUUCUAGAUGUUGAGUUAUACAUGUAGUUUCUAUUAAUCAAAAAGACCUUGGAGACAUUUCCUUCAAUAGGUGGCAAGAAAGAAAAGAUGGAGAAAAAGAUAAACUGAACAUAAAAAUCCAUAGAGCAGUUAGUUUGAUAGAUGUCUGAGAAUAGCAGGAAAAAAACUAUGAGUAAUCCCAAAAUAACAGUGGUUUCAGUAUGAAGUUUUCUCCACAUAAAUUUGUUAUAAUUAAAAAUUAUAAAAUAGGCUGGGCAUGGUGGCUCAUGCCUGUAACACCAGCACUUUGGGAGGCUGAGGCAUGCAGAUCACUUGAGUUCAGAAGUUUGAGACUAGCCUGGCCAACAUGGUGAAACCUCAUCUCUAUUAAAAAUACAAAAAUUAGCUGGAUGUGGUGGUGAGUGCCUGUAAUCCCAGCUACUUGGGAGGCUGAGGCUGGAGAAUCGCUUGAACCUGGGAGGCAGAGGUUGCACUGAGCCGAGAUCACGUCACUGCACUCCAGCCUGGGCGACAGAUCAAGACUUUGCCUCAAAAAACAAACAAACAAAAAGCCCUAUAAAAUAAUAAAUUAUUUCAAAAUACGUGAGAUGAGGUCCAGGUGUGGUGGCUCACAUCUGUAAUCCCAGCAGUUCGGGAGGCCCAAGAAGAAGGAUUGCUUGAGUCCAGGAGUUUGAGACCAGCCUGGGCAACAUGGCAAGACCCAAUCUCUACAAAAAAUUUUUUAAAAUAGUUGGGCAUGAUGGCCUGCACCUAUGGUCCCAACUACUCAGAAGGCUGAGGCAGGAAGAUUACUUGAGCCUGGGAGAUCGAGGCUGUAGUGAGCCAUGAUUGUGCCACUGCAUCCCAGCCUGGGCGACAGAGCUAGACCUUGUCUCAAAAUUAUAUACAUAUAUAUAUAUGGAUGACAGUAAUAUAAAAUACUUUUAAAACAAUCUUUAAUGAUAAAAUUUAGUAAGAUCCCUGUUUUAUGUGGCUUCACUAAUAUAUUUGUAUCUAAGUGUAUUAAAAAGAGAUUCAGAUCUCUCUUGUUAUAUUCUUACAGUUGAUCUCAUUGCUUUUGUAAUUACCGCAUAAAAUACGGAAACAUUUUUUGACUAAAGGCAUAACAAAAGUACUCUAAUCCAUUGAGUAAAUAGAAUGCACGGAAUGAGAAAGUAUUAAAUAAUUUCGAGGAAAUGUUUUUAUUCCACAUCAUUUCUCUUACAUUAUUGGGCUUCUCUUGUAAUUUCUUAUUAAAAUCUUUCACUGUUGUUAUAUUUGUUGUGAGUUUAAUUUAGCAGGGGUAUGGAAUAAUUCCUCCUGGUUUGAGACUGCUGAACACUACAGGACUAGCAUCCCUGGCACUGCCACUAAAUGCUAAUAGCAGUGACCUCCUAUCAUAGGGCAAACCAAAAUGUGCAUGCAUACACACCCCCAAUCAAGAGUCACUGUCUUAGCUAUUGCUAUUUUAUUAUAAAUGAAUAAUUAAAGUUCUUAACAUGACAUUUUGGAGAUUAAUUUAUCAGCCUGUUGUUAAAUAUAUGCAUUGAAUCUCUACCUCUUCGGUAAUUCAUAUAUAAUCUGAAAAAUCUAUAUCCAAAAGGGGAAAAAAACAGGAAUAAUCAAGAGUCUACUACAUUAUCUCCACACUUAGAUUCCAUUGAGAAUCUAAAAGUAGUUUAACUUAUAUUUGAGGCAGGUGUAUUUUAGGACAUGUUGCUAAGAGUAAAUAUUACAAACAAGUAAUUGUGAACCUGUAGCCAAGGAACCCUUUGGGAAUUUUAAUGAUUACUGUGAAUGGUGAAGAUAAUUUUGAAGAACUAUUCUUUGAAGGAUGGAAUGUUAACAUUUCAAGGACCUGUGAAGAGCUCUGGGCCAAGGUUCCCACCAGAUACUCUAAGCCAUUAGAGAAUUAGGCAUGCUUAUUCUAGAUUCUUUGUCUUUUAUGAAACCACAUCUAGAGUGUAUUUACCAACAUCCCUGUGAUAAUGAGUUUGCAAAUCAUCAUGUAUAUGAUAAAUGAUAUAUAUUAUGUAGAUAUACAUGUGAAUACAUAAAUAGGUAAAGAAACCCUUUUAGCCUUGUUUAAUACAGUCUCUCCUUAAAUCCAUUAUGCUGGAAAUAUUUGGGGCACAGCUAGCAGCACAGUACAUCAGCCACAGCACCAAGCAUCUUUCAUUUAUUGUGUUGUCUAGUGCACACCACAGCCCUACAAGGUAGAUAUUAUUGCCCAUCUCUCCUUUAUAAGAAGAAGGAUAAAUUAACUUAGUAUGCCAGCAUUUGAACCCAGUUAAUUUUUAAGUUAAGCUAGAUAGGUCCACAGUCCUGUUUUUCACAAUUUCAGAAUGGAAAAAACUCUGAAAACUGCAAAACCUAACAUGAACUAAGUUUUAGUCCUACAUAUUGUGAAUAUUUAUAUAUUUUACUGAAACAAAUAAAAAGUAAUGUGUUUGAUUAUACUUGUUGACCCAGAUAGCCCAGGAGGUAUUUUAUAAAUAUAUACUCCUUUCUAAGCGGUGUUGUCGUUUUAAUAACUGAAAAAUGUUGAACUUCAAAAGGCAUCUGACCCCAUGGGUUUCUUAAGAGUGAGAUUGUGACCUAUACCUUUAUCUACAUGCAGUUAACACAAAAGAUAAUUACUUAUAUGUAACAUAAAUGUAAGUUAAAGAAUGAUGAACACUGUAAGCCUACCACCUGGCUUAAAAAAAUAGAAUGUUAUCAACUCAUUUGAAGACCGUACCUGUCCCCUAUUGUAUCCCUCUCUCUCAUUCCCAGAGGUAACUACUGUUCUGACUUGUGUAUAUGUGACUCUCUUCAUUUAAAAAAAAUAACUAGAGACAUUUUCUUAUGUUCCUACUUUCUGACAUUACUUAGUAACUUGUUUGCUGUCAGGAAGAUUUCACCUCAGAUUUGACUCAUGUUUGCUUAAGUGUGUCUUAGGUGAUUUUGUUUUGUAGAAAUUGCAUGAAAUAAUUGAAAUAGGAAUAAAUAUGAAGUCACUUCGGACUUGUAAAAAAAUUGUAUGCAAAAUUAUAAUAUAUAAUAUGUAUAUAAUAUAUAAUAUAUAUAAUAGUUAUAUAUUAACAUUAUGUUAAUGUUAACUCACCAGUGUAGUAAAAUCUAUAACAGAACAUAAUUCCUGGAUAACUGAAGGUUUUAAAUAGUCCUUGGGUAUUUGGCAUAGAAGGAUUUAAUCUGAUUUUUAAAAUUUGUUGACUUUUUUUUUUUUCAGAAAUGGAUUGACUUGCACCUAAAUGAAAUUAUUUAUCUAAUGAUCUCUUGGACUUAAAGCACUUUGUUUCUGCAGUUACUUUGCAUGAGUGUUUACUACCUCUCAGUCAGCAUUCUUUACAGUAUUAAUACACAGAGGAGGAAGGACCGUCUGCAUUAGAAUCACUGUAACUUGUUGCAAAUCCACAUUUCCAGACUUAACACCCAGAUAUUCUAAUUCAAUACGUCUGAGUGAGGUCCAGGAUUCUAUAUUUUUAACAAACAUCCCAGGUGAUUUGCAUAAAGACCAAUGUCUGAGAACCACUGCUUACAGGAAUCAGAGUACUUUGCUGGCAUCUUUGAGCUCUUAGGGUCCUAAACUACCUGCUUUCUUUUCACUUGUCUUAGCUUUCUAAACUUGGAAUUAGGAGGCUUAUUCAAGUCCUGGUUCUUCCACUUUCGGCUAGCAAUCUUGGGCAAGUCACUUAAAUUCUGCAACUGUUUCCUCCUCUGUACAAUGAGAACAGUGAUGUCUUCACUGCCCAGCCUCCAACAUAUUUGUGAUUAAAGAAAAACGAGAUAAGAUAGUAAUUUUCCAUUAUAAAGUACUCCACAAUGUUAAGUUUGUUGCUUUUUUUUUUUUUUCCUGUUUCCCAAGAUUAUUGUCUUGGGUCACUGGCCUUUUGGGUGGUCCUAAAUGAGGAGGAGUCCUUGACAGUGCUUUCCAGGUAGUACUCUGAAUUUACAACAGGGCUAUUCAAAUAGUGCUCAUACUCCUUAUCAUUAGGGUAUCUGGAUGAAACAUACUUCUGCUUCUGAUUUCUUAGUUUUGUUUUAUAUAUUGUGCUGUGAUUUAGCUCCAGCGGCGCCAUGAGCAAAUGAAAAAGAAUUUGGAAGCACAGCACAAAGAAUUGGAGGAAAAACGUCGUCAGUUUGAGGAUGAGAAAGCAAACUGGGAAGCUCAACAACGUAUUUUAGAACAACAGAACUCUUCGAGAACCUUGGAAAAGAACAAGAAGAAAGGGAAGAUCUUUUAAACUCUCUAUUGACCACCAGUUACAUAUUAGUUGCCAAUAUGCCAGCUUGGACAUCAGUGUUUGUUGGAUCCGUUUGACCAAUUUGCACCAGUUUUAUCCACAAUGAUGGAUUUAACAGCAUGACAAAAAUUAUUUUUUUUUUUGUUCUUGAUGGAGAUUAAGAUGCCUUGAAUUGUCUAGGGUGUUCUGUACUUAGAAAGUAAGAGCUCUAAGUACCUUUCCUACAUUUUCUUUUUUUAUUAAACAGAUAUCUUCAGUUUAAUGCAAGAGAACAUUUUACUGUUGUACAAUCAUGUUCUGGUGGUUUGAUUGUUUACAGGAUAUUCCAAAAUAAAAGGACUCUGGAAGAUUUUCAUUGAGGAUAAAUUGCCAUAAUAUGAUGCAAACUAUGCUUCUCUAUGAUAAUUAUAAUACAAAGGUUCCAUUCAAUGCAGCAUAUACAAUAAUGUAAUUUAGUCUAACACAGUUGACCCUAUUUUUUGACACUUCCAUUGUUUAAAAAUACACAUGGAAAAAAAAAACCCCUAUAUGCUUACAGUGCACCUAGAGCUUUUUUAUAACAACCUCUUUUUGUUUGUUUGUUUUGGAUUCUUUAAAUAUAUAUUAUUCUCAUUUAGUGCCCUCUUAGCCAGAAUCUCAUUACUGCUUCAUUUUUGUAAUAACAUUUAAUUUAGAUAUUUUCCAUAUAUUGGCACUGCUAAAAUAGAAUAUAGCAUCUUUCAUAUGGUAGGAACCAACAAGGAAACUUUCCUUUAACUCCCUUUUUACACUUUAUGGUAAGUAGCAGGGGGGAAAAUGCAUUUAUAGAUCAUUUCUAGGCAAAAUUGUUAAGCUAAUGACCAACCUGUUUCUACCUAUAUGCAGUCUGUUUAUUUUACUAGAAAUGGGAAUCAUGGCCUCUUGAAGAGAAAAAAGUCACCAUUCUGCAUUUAGCUGUAUUCAUAUAUUGCAUUUCUGUAUUUUUUGUUUGUAUUGUAAAAAAUUCACAUAAUAAACGAUGUUGUGAUGU